rnacentral:lncRNA from 1 species
UCUUCAAAAACAUUAAUAGUUAAUCUGAUCAGUUAAACUAAUCUUCUUUUAUGACCAGUUGAGUUUUUUUUUUUUAAAUUUGAAACCAGUUGAUAAUUUAUUAAUUUCAAAACGUGAAAAAAUCGUAGACAUGGCUGUUGGCCAUUAGCUUUUUUUGUACAUUAUGGUACUUGAAAAUUGUAUUAGGGUUUGAAAUUUAAUUAUAAAGGGUUGAUCAGGCGGUGGAGCAAUUUAGUGCAGGCUUGACGACACCGAUGAUAGUAGGCUUGACGACGUUCUCACAAGUUGAAUUGGACACUGCUCCUCCGACCUUGUUUUUAAGUUGAAUUUUUUCGAACGAGAGACCUGUGCAUGGAUUUGACUUACUACACAAGAGUGUAAUGGCAACCGGUGUCGCCGACGUUCCUCUGAUGUUGCUGAACUUGACGUCCGAUAUCUUGACGUUUGAAGACACGGAUUUUGGGCAAUUUCCGGCAGGGCAGUACUGUUGAUUAAUGAUGAUAGGAUUCUCAAC